UGCUCAGUCUGAAAAUGGGCAUCAGGAAAUUGAUUUCACAAAGCUAAAAGAAUAGCUAUUUAUUUGAUGAAGGUCUUAAAGAUUUCAUUCAAAAAGCAAUGGCUUGUCUGAAGAUUGUUGAAUGUAUCGGUUCAACUUAGAAUAAAGUGAAUAAUCAAAAACUUCAUUGAAGAACAGCUACAAGAACACAGAGGAACUUCAGGCACAAGGAAAAUUCAAGAAGGAGACAUGAAUACAGGUUACCGCCUUUUCUGUGGAGCCCCUUGCAAAGGAGGACCUUGUCUCCAAGAUCAACAUGGCUUGGAGUGUAACUUCCAGUACUUUGGAGAUCAUUGGUAUACAUGUGUGGGAACACCGAAUCGCAAAAAAAUUACAGCAUGGAAUAAGGCCAUUCAAUCCUCUGAGCCCGUGCUGGCUCCAUGCCGGAGAAAUCCUUCUAGUUCAUCCUCCCUACAUUUCCACAGUGCCCUGCAACACUCCUUCUCUCUUGAAUGUCAUAACUGACUUUGCCCGCACUACUCAACCAACCAUAGCAGAGUUGUGCAGACAGAGUCGUAACUACUCCAGACCUUAACCACGUGCUGUGCAAAGAACCACUCUUUCAAAUCAGUUUGGUUUCAUUUACCAAUCAUUUUCAUCGUUUUUUACUCAUGACACUCUGAC